CGGUGGGGGAGAAAGAAGGAUCUAAAAAUCAAAAUUUCUCGCUCCGCUCUCCGCCUAGGGCAAGGACAAGAAAGGGGGGCCAACGGGGGUCAGCGCCAUCCCGCUCCGCCACCGUCGGCUCUUAGCAUCCCCGGGAGUCCAACGGCGGCCAAAAUCGAGAGACCCGGGUGACGGGGUGAGUUCGCCCAAUCUCAUUCCUGCGUACCCCGACCUCUCCCUCAAACUCCCUCCCUUUUCUUUUUCCCCUCCGAGAAAUGCUCUGUUAUUGAGAACUUCUCCUCCGCUUGGCUGUCAGCGCAGAAAAAAUCUUCCUUUGUUUCUUUUGUUCCGUUUUCCCCCUUUGGAGUUGCAAUUUAUGUUAUUGAGAGAACAUUUCUUUUGAUUCUUUUCUCGCUGAUGGAUUUUGGCAAUCAUUUCUUUUGUACUGAGUAGUGUGGAUUAUUUAUUAUCAUGGUUGAUGGCUUCUGUUCUCUUUGCACUGUUGUGUCAUCCACUGUUCUAGGAGAAUUGAGACCUUAAUUUGAUCACUCUCCUACUGUUUUUCUCUUGUAUUAUGUUCCGUUUUCUUUAUUUUUUUUAUUAUUUUAGUAACAUGCUAGUGUUGCUUCUAUUUCCAUAAAAGUAUCAUCAUGUGUAAUUAAAUCCAUAUCCGCAUCCAGUAGAGAAUCUAUGCUUGAUCAUUUGAGAUAAGACCACAAUGGUCUUGUGUACCUGUAUUCUAUUAGUUUAGAUUAGACAAUAAAAUUGUUAUAUAUUUGCAAUUCCAAAAAAUAUUAUUAUUAAACCUGAUGAAGAAAUAUAUGUUCUGUUGGCACUACAUUCUUUUGUAUAUGCUUUUUAUAAGCACCUAUACGAAAUAUUGAGCACAAUUUUAAUAUAACUGUCUGCUCUCUUUAUAGGUUAAAUCGAGUCUUUUGAUGAUAUAUCUUCUUGGUUCUACCAAGGAGAAAGUUCUGGCUCUGCCCCUGAUAUUACCUAGUUAAAAUUCAAAGAAAAUCAAACACUAUUGGAGAAUAAUUGUUAUUCCUCCUAUGGGAUUAUUAGUCUCUUCUUACUAAGGUGUGGCUGGGAGUUGGUUUGAGUUAAAGUCAAUCAAGCCUAACUCGACUAACAAACUACCUAACUCUAAGAUGACUUAAACCUUACAAGCAAAAUUCAGACCCAAUCUAAGUCCAAAAAUUUGAGCUAUUGGUUGGUUCAAGUAGGAUUUUACUAAGGUUGCAAAGGGAGUUCUUCUUUACGGAAUAUGUUUGGGUUUAAAUUGGUCAAACCAUGAUAUGAAUUGGAUAAUUGAUUCAAUUAUUAUUAGGAAUCUUAGGUCUUUAUUGGAUAACAGGUAGUUUGGAAUUUCGGGAUUUGUUCGAAAUAGCUAAUAACUUGAUCCAUAUAACUAUUUGCGAUAUAUUGCAUGGUUUGUGUCAAUUAGACUACAGGCUAGAUAUGGUUUGGAUUUAUUGGGUGCCCUAUCAUUUAGAUUUGUCUCAUUUGAGAUUGGCCAUGUUGCCUAAGGGGUUGUUUGUGAGAUUUUUGUUAAAACUUUUACAAAAGUUGAAUUUUAUAAAAAUGGAUUUUAGAAAGGGCAAUUUUAGAAUUUAUUUUUUGUUGUUUUACUAUUUAGGAAUGGACUGUAUGAUGCCAAAUACAAUUGCUUUAGCUUUUUUUUGGGGGGGUAGUCCUCUUCACUCUGUUUUCCUGUGUUUCAUCCUGACAGAAAUGGACAAUCCUCAGAGCACUUUUAGUUGAUGGGUUCUUUGCCUGUAAUGACCAAAUGUGCCCUUUUAGAAAAUUUGGCUAUCGUUCUUCUGCACAUCCCACCUCUGGCUUACUUCAGUUACUUGUCGGUUGGCACUACAAAGUGGCUAAUGUUGCAAGCUAUGGGACCCUGACUCAUCUGAACCAUGGGUUUGCUAGGAAGUUCAUGGGAUUUUUGAGUACAAAGGAGGUGCUUAUGGCUGUAAAAUAUGAAACCCGCCCUUUCCAAACCCACUUCUCAACAAUGGCUGAAAGUAUAUUGGUUCAGGCUCGUGACCCAUCUCGAGUGGCUUUGGAGCUGGAAAAUGCAGUUGAGGAACAGAGAUUUGGGGAUGCAUGGAAGGCAUUUGAGAAGCACAUAAAUAUGGAUGGCUUUCCUAGGAAGUCAGUUUUAAGCAAGCUCAUAACUGGUUUUGCUGAGAGCUGUGACUGCCAUUGGCUUGACAAAGCCUAUAAUGUAGUGGAGCUGGUUUUUAAGGAGAAGAAGCAUGAGCUAUUGGAAAAAGAGCCUCUUAUUUACCUUUCUUUUAUCCUUGCAAGGUGUGAGAUGCCUGUUUUUGCAUCAAACAUCGUGAGAAAAUUGAUCCAGAUGGAAGCAUUCCCUCCACUAGCAGCGUGGUCGGGAGUCGUAGGACAUAUGUCUCAGACGGUGACUGGUGCAUUCCUUGCUUCUGAGUUAAUUAUGGAGAUUGGUUACCUUUUUAAGGAUAACAGAGUUGAUCCUCGAAAGAAGAGUAACAGGCCAUUGCUCUCAAUGAAGCCUGCAUCCUUUGUUUUUAACAUAGCUUUGACUGGCUGCCUUUUAUUUGGGACAACAAGGAAAGCUGAGCAGCUUCUUGAACUAAUGCCUCGGGUAGGGGUGAAGCCUGAUGCCAACUUAUUGAUUGUAAUGGCUCGUAUAUAUGAAAAGAAUGGGCAUAGAGAUGAGAUCAAGAAACUUAAGCGGCAUGUCGAUGUGGCCUGCGGCCUUGGUGAUUUUGAGUUUCAGCAAUUCUACGACUGCUUGCUCUCAUGCCAUUUGAAAUUUGGGGACUUGGGUUCGGCGGUUGAUAUGGUCUUGGACAUGCUCAGAAAGGCUAAGGAAGCAAAGCGGUCUCUGGAUGCAGCUAAGUCAGUGCUGAAAGCAGUUGAAACUGGGAAGACCUUUCUUCCUUAUCAGAAUUCUGAACACAACAAAUUGGAUAAUAUGGAUAGCUCUUGUUUGAUCAAAGCCUGUGCACCAUCCUAUGUUGACUUCUCCAAAGAUAGAAAUUUUUUAAGGCUUGAAGCUGAGGCAAGGGAAUCACUUAAACUGCUAUCGGGUAAAUUGCAGUCCCAGGUUGAAUUGGUUAUGUCUGAACAUGGCAUUCUCCAUCCAACAGAGAAAAUGUAUGCCAAGCUUGUUAAAGCUUUCUUGGAUGCUGACAAGAUUAGCGAAUUGGCGGCAUUUUUAAUCAAAGCAAGCAAGGAAGACUUCCCGGUCUCCAUCGAGAGCUCUACAGUGGUUCAGGUAAUAAAUGUGUGCAUUGCUCUUGGUUUGUUAGACCAAGCACAUGAUCUAUUAGAUGAGAUGACAUUUUCUGGGAUUAGAGUCGGUUCAUCUGUUUAUUCUUCUCUUUUAAAAGCCUACUGCAAGGAGAACCAGCAUGGAGAGAUAACGUCACUUUUGCGAGAUGCUCGGAAGGCUGGCAUCCAGCUUGAUUCUAGCUGUUACGAGGCUUUGAUCCAAUCUAGGGUGCAUCACAAUGACUCACGUGAGGCUCUUCGUCUCUUUAAAGAGAUGAAAGAGUCUAAUAUAUCAAGAUCCAGUCAUCAUGCAUUUGAUAACUUGGUGGAAGGGUCUGCCAGAAGUGGUGAAGCAGGUUUGAUGGAUAAGCUUUUGGAGGAGAUUAAGAACAAUGAGAGGGUGCAUUGUGCAGUUCAUGAUUGGAACAAUGUGAUACAUUUCUUCUGCAAGAGAAGGAUGAUGCAUGAUGCUCAGAAGGCUCUGAACAAGAUGAGGGCUCUGGGGCACACACCAAAUGCCCAGACUUUUCAUUCUCUGGUCACAGCAUAUGCUGCUAUAGGGGGGAAAUAUGUGGAAGUUACAGAUCUGUGGGGUGAAAUGAAAGUGCUUUCCAGUUCAAGUUCAAUGAAGUUUGACCAGGAGCUCUUGGAUUCCUUAUUGUAUUGCUUUGUUAGAGGUGGGUUUUUUCUUCGGGCCAUGGAAGUGAUAGAGAUGAUGGAAAAAGGAAGAAUGUUCAUUGACAAAUAUAAAUAUAGAUCACUUUGGUUAAAGUAUCACAGGACACUGUACAAGGGUAAGGCUCCCAAAAUCCAGACAGAAGCUCAAUGGAAAAGGAGAGAAGCGGCUUUGGCUUUUAAAAGAUGGAUUGGCUUGACAUAAACAUGGUGAGAGGCCCUUUUUCGCUGCUUACCCCACCAUUUGCCUCAUCAGCCGAUGACAUUGAAGAUUUCUUUGGAAGCAGAGCUGAUGCAGCAAAUUGGGUGGUGAGACUCAGUCUAUUAAAUAUCAAUCCAACAUUAUGUUUGCAGACUGGUUGGCUUAAAUGAAUGGGUUCGAACACAGCACUAAAGUAGAAGAUCGGAUAUAAUCAGACAACUCAUUCUAUUAUCAAGCAUGAUAUCAGCUGAAGCAUUCUACAACGAGGGCAUGACUUGGAUUCUGCUGAAUCACUCUCUUGGUGUUAUUUUAGUGGCAGAAAGGAGGGCAAUCUUUAUUGUACUAUGAUUUGCCUGAUAACCUAAUUUGGCUAAAUGCUUCCAUCAAUGGCUUCCAUUCAUGAUGCAGAAGUUCUAUUGGCUGAUUUGUUAUCCUGAAGAAAUGGGUUCAAUAGAAGAAUUUGAGACCAAAUAAGCUACUUUUCAUACAAAAUAGGAAAGAUAGACAGAGAUCAGUGGUAUUUAUGUACUAUUGUUUUAUACAAAUACAAACUUUUAUCAUGUUCAAAUUAUUUGGUUAUAUGCAUCAAAAUGUAUAUUGCUUUUUAGCGUUGAAUGGACUUCA